GGGGAGUCUUGCAUUUAAUGGGGAAUCUUGCAUUUGAGGGGGAGCUUACAUUCUUUUACUCUUGUGCAUGCAUUUCAUUGUGGCAUAUUUUCAGGGGGAGUGCAUGUGUUUAGGGGGAGCUUGUGAGUUUUGUGCCCUUUUUUUUUGCUAUUUUGCCGGUUGUGUUGAGCUUUUACCUUUUCUUGAGAAACCGACAUUUGCUUUGAGCUUUCAAUCUUCACAUGAUUGGAGUUGAUCCUUUCUGUCUCUUCUUGAUGGAUCAUGUGUUUUCGAUCUUCACGUGAUUGGUGUUGAGCCCUUUCUGCCUCUUCUUGAGGGAUCAUGUGUUCUUUGUCUCAGUUGCAUCGAGUCGUUGCCCAUGUCUUUGGGGACCGAGACUUUUCCAAGUUGAUUUGGCUUUUGUGGUACUUCUCAUGUCAAGUGACUUUAAUCUUUACCUUUACAUGGCUUUCAAUCAUUUGGAUGAGAGUUUUGCCUAAUUGGUUUCACAACUUGGUUUUUACGACUCUUCUCAUCUCAAGUGACUUUGAUCUUGGUUUUUAUUUGAAGUUUGAUCACUUGGAUGAGAUUUUUGACUUUUGCCUCUCAAACCACUUUGUUGUGCUUGAAUGUUAACAACACACUCAUGAAGGGGGAGAUUGAGAAAAUCAAGUUGAUAUGAACCUUGAUUUAUAGUGAUGAGCAUUUGACAAAUGUUGAAAUGGCUUUGACAACAUUUUGGGAUUCAUGAAACUCUUGUGUCUUUCACUUCUUUGGUUGUCUUGUGGGAUUCAUCAAGGGGGAGAUUGACAAAUGGCUUUGAUGCAACCUAGAAUUUUUGUUUGGAGCUUGCAUGAUCCCUUCUCAUUUCAAGUGGCCUUGUGUUUGUUUUUACUUGGUUUUUAGGCACUUGAAUAAGUUCUUUUUUGCUUUCAAAUCAUCUUUUGUCAAUGCACUUAUCAAGGGGGAGAUUGAGAGAUCAAGUUGAGAAGUGUCUUAGUCUAUUUGUGAUGAGUGAUUGACAAGAUGAUUUGAGGAUUUAUCGGUUGAGUCCUUAUUCCAUAUGGGCUUGAUUAUACUAACGGCUAACCGGAGGUGUGAGUUGUGUUGUGGUGGUUGUGUAAACCAUAUCUUGUGUGUUGUGUCUUUUGGCUUGUGAUGUGCAGGUGUAGGAUGCGACAUGCGGUCGACGGCACGAGAUGAAGGUCAAGCAAAAGGUUCAUGCUGACGUACUAGGGUUGUGAAGGGUGGACAUGAGUAGGCUUAGACCGAGGGACCUGAGGAGUCCGGAUGGAGUCAUGGGCAAUCCACAUGGUGCACGGAAGAGCAAGAGUACACGGAAAG
rnacentral:lncRNA from 1 species